CUACGGGGGGCAGCAGUGGGGAAUAUUGGACAAUGGGGGAAACCCUGAUCCAGCAAUGCCGCGUGUGUGAAGAAGGCCUGCGGGUUGUAAAGCACUUUCGGUUGGGAGGACUGCUUCUAGCACUAAUAUUGUUGGAAGUUGACGUUACCUUCAGAAGAAGCACCGGCUAACUCCGUGCCAGCAGCCGCGGUAAUACGGAGGGUGCAAGCAUUAAUCGGAAUUACUGGGCGUAAAGCGCGCGUAGGCGGCUAGAUCAGUCGGGUGUGAAAGCCCCGGGCUUAACCUGGGAACUGCAUCCGAUACUGUCUAGCUUGAGUACAGGAGGGGAGAGUGGAAUUCCACAUGUAGCGGUGAUAUGCGUAGAUAUGUGGAGGAACACCAAUGGCGAAGGCAGCUCUCUGGCCUGAUACUGACGCUGAGGUGCGAAAGCGUGGGGAGCAAACAGGAUUAGAUACCCUUGUAGUC
rnacentral:rRNA from 1 species